rnacentral:rRNA from 1 species
UACGGGGGGGGCAAGCGUUGUUCGGAAUUACUGGGCGUAAAGGGCUCGUAGGCGGCCAACUAAGUCGGACGUGAAAUUCCCAGGCUCAACCUGGGAACUGCGUCCGAUACUGGAUGGCUUGAAUCCGGGAGAGGGAUGCAGAAUUCCAGGUGUAGCGGUGAAAUGCGUAGAUAUCUGGAGGAACACCGGUGGCGAAGGCGGGUCUCUGGGCCGUAACUGACGCUGAGGAGCGAAAGCGUGGGGAGCGAACAGG